CCCACGCCCCACGUCCCGCCCCGCGCUAGGGCGCACAGGCUGCGCAGAUCGGUGGCGUGGGUCACACUGCACUCUAGGCUCUGUCCGCUCAAAGUCCGGCCAAGGAGAUCUGAGGGCAGGGGAGCAAAGGGAUUACGUGUAUUCGCUAGCUGGUGGAGGAAGGCGGUUUCCAGAGGAGAGCCUGGGCAACUGUCCUCCUCAGAACUGCCAGCUGCCCUUCCCUAGAGCGCCCGGUAAUAAAUAGUUAAGGCUGCCUGCUGCUUUCGACCACGCUGCGCCCAGUCGCUGGGCUGUCAACGCUUUGUGGUGCCUGAGAAGGCUUGAAAGCUCCCUUAGCUGUGUUCCUGUACUUCUUGGGUCGGGAGAGAGCGAGCCACAGAAGCAGAGCCUGAGCUGCUGUGCUUCUGUUAAGGUGAGCGAUGAUCACCAAAGCUUUUAAUGAUAGCAAAGUAGGAAAUCUGCAUAGAGGAGAUCUAAGAAAAGGAGGAAAAAAAGCAGUUCUCUUCGGUUUAAUCAAUGACAAAAGACCAUUACAGAGGAAGCAAAACAGAUCUCGGUGACCCUGGUGAUGCUGUAGAGGACUCCUACGUGUCUUUUGUGAAGUUUCUCCUGUUGAAUGCUUGCUGAUUUGCUUUGUAUGAUGCCCCAUACAAAACACAAGUCUUCAUAAAGAUUCAGUACAGUCAACCCUUGAACAACACAGGUUUGAACUGUGUGAGACGAUGUGUAUACAGAGUUUUUUCAAUAAACAUAUUGGAAAAUU